rnacentral:rRNA from 1 species
AGAGUUUGAUCCUGGCUCAGGACGAACGCUGGCGGCAUGCCUAAUACAUGCAAGUCGAGCGAACAGAUGAAGUGCUUGCACUUCUGACGUUAGCGGCGAACGGGUGAGUAACACGUAAGGGAUCUACCUAUAAGCGGGGGAUAACAUUCGGAAACGGGUGCUAAUACCGCAUAAUAUCUUCUUCCGCAUGGAAGAAGAUUGAAAGACGGCUCUGCUGUCACUUAUAGAUGACCUUGCGGUGCAUUAGUUAGUUGGUGGGGUAACGGCCUACCAAGGCGACGAUCAGUAGCCGGUCUGAGAGGAUGAACGGCCACAUUGGGACUGAGAUACGGCCCAGACUCCUACGGGAGGCAGCAGUGGGGAAUAUUGGGCAAUGGGGGAAACCCUGACCCAGCAACGCCGCGUGAAGGAAGAAGGCUUUCGGGUUGUAAACUUCUUUUACCAGGGACGAAGAAAGUGACGGUACCUGGAGAAAAAGCCACGGCUAACUACGUGCCAGCAGCCGCGGUAAUACGUAGGUGGCAAGCGUUGUCCGGAUUAACUGGGUGUAAAGGGCGUGUAGGCGGAGAUUCAAGUCAGGAGUGAAAUCUAUGGGCUUAACCCAUAAACUGCCUUUGAAACUGAAUCCCUUGAGUAUCGGAGAGGCAGGCGGAAUUCCUAGUGUAGCGGUGAAAUGCGUAGAUAUUAGGAGGAACACCAGUGGCGAAGGCGGCCUGCUGGACGACAACUGACGCUGAGGCGCGAAAGCGUGGGGAGCAAACAGGAUUAGAUACCCUGGUAGUCCACGCUGUAAACGAUGAAUACUAGGUGUGGGGGGACUGACCCCUUCCGUGCCGCAGUUAACACAAUAAGUAUUCCACCUGGGGAGUACGACCGCAAGGUUGAAACUCAAAGGAAUUGACGGGGGCCCGCACAAGCAGUGGAUUAUGUGGUUUAAUUCGACGCAACGCGAAGAACCUUACCGGGAUUUGACAUCCUACUAACGAAGCAGAGAUGCAUAAGGUGCCCUUCGGGGAAAGUAGAGACAGGUGGUGCAUGGUUGUCGUCAGCUCGUGUCGUGAGAUGUUGGGUUAAGUCCCGCAACGAGCGCAACCCCUAUUGUUAGUUGCUACGCAAGAGCACUCUAGCAAGACUGCCGUUGACAAAACGGAGGAAGGUGGGGACGACGUCAAAUCAUCAUGCCCCUUACGUCCCGGGCUACACACGUAAUACAAUGGCGAUCAACAGAGGGAAGCAAAGUCGCGAGGCAGAGCAAAACCCUAAAAGUCGUCUCAGUUCGGAUUGCAGGCUGAAACCCGCCUGCAUGAAGUUGGAAUUGCUAGUAAUCGCGGAUCAGCAUGCCGCGGUGAAUACGUUCCCGGGCCUUGUACACACCGCCCGUCA